UACGGGGGGAGCAAGCGUUGUUCGGAUUUACUGGGCGUAAAGGGCGCGUAGGCGGUCAGCACAAGUCAGUUGUGAAAUCUCCGGGCUUAACUCGGAAAGGUCAACUGAUACUGUGCGACUAGAGUGCAGAAGGGGCAACUGGAAUUCUCGGUGUAGCGGUGAAAUGCGUAGAUAUCGAGAGGAACACCUGCGGCGAAGGCGGGUUGCUGGGCUGACACUGACGCUGAUGCGCGAAGGCCAGGGGAGCGAACGGG
rnacentral:rRNA from 1 species